AUUGAACGCUGGCGGCAGGCCUAACACAUGCAAGUCGAGCGGAUGAAGGGGGCUUGCUCCUGGAUUCAGCGGCGGACGGGUGGGUAAUGCCUAGGAAUCUGCCUGGUGGGGGGGGAUAACGUCCGGAAACGGGCCCUAAUACCCCAUCCGUCCUUAGGGGGAAAGGGGGGGAUCUUGGGACCUCACGCUUCCGGAUGAGCCUAGGUCGGAUUAGCUAGUUGGUGGGGUAAAGGCCUACCAAGGCGACGAUCCGUAACUGGUCUGAGAGGAUGAUCAGUCACACUGGAACUGAGACACGGUCCAGACUCCUACGGGAGGCAGCAGUGGGGAAUAUUGGACAAUGGGCGAAAGCCUGAUCCAGCCAUGCCGCGUGUGUGAAGAAGGUCUUCGGAUUGUAAAGCACUUUAAGUUGGGAGGAAGGGCAGUAAGUUAAUACCUUGCUGUUUUGACGUUACCAACAGAAUAAGCACCGGCUAACUUCGUG
rnacentral:rRNA from 1 species